GCUGAGCUCACAACCCAAGGGAAUGGGGCUUCAGUCCCCCACGGCCAAUAGAAGUUUCCAGGCCAUGACUGCGCUCCAAGGACACAGCUCCUCACCAGCUUCUUUGUCAGAGCAAUUGAACUGAAUAGUAUCAGCACUUUGCUCCCAGCCAUCUCAUGGAAGUUUUGGAAACACCAUGCUGUAACCAAGUUUCCCACAGAUGUCAGAGGAUGCUGAAGUCACAGCUGUAGCACCAGCAGAGUGACUCCUCACAUCUGCAAGACAUCUGAAUACAUUUCUGAAGUCCAAACUGGAGGACACCAAAAAGUUCAGCUUCUGAAUGGAACGCAUCUAGGAAAGAGAAUGCUUUGAGCGAUCAGCA